UGAAGUUUGACAGAUCAAAUACUUCUCAAGGACAAGAUCUCUAACUCAAGAUCAGCUUGCUGCUUUCAGUAACAAAGGCAGGAGCUCAACUCAUCUUAGCUGUGGCCAACAAUUUAUGAAGAGAUAAUCCAGUUCAUAGGAAAUGAUGUUCUUCAAGUAUUCGAAGAACGGAAAGUGUUUCUCCGUCAGCAUGGAUUCAGCUUCAAAUAUGUCUUAUCUUGAUCUCUGGACUACUGGUGUAUGCCACGUUGAUCCUCGCAGGAAUAACUGUAAAGGGUUUCUAGUAUUUCUUUUACUAUCAGAAAAAACACCCUGGCAUCACGUUGCCUGCGGUUUCUAGUGAAAACAUCGGUCGGAGAAUUUUGAGCUUAUAGCCGUGGAUGAGGUAUUGGUCUACUCUCUGCCAUUGGACCACGAACAACUUGGGAGCCAGAAGUUGCCAUUACCAAAUAAAGACUUGCUGCUCCAAACAAGUGACGUAUCAAACUUUAAGUCAGGAUGCUAUCUUUACUAGUAUUCUCAACAAGAAGUUUUUCUUCAAACUGAGAUUGCUUUGUUUUAGUAAACAAUGUGAUUUUUGUCCACUGUUGACCCUACACUUGGCAAAGUGCUGUCUUAAUAAUUGUUAA
rnacentral:lncRNA from 1 species